CUUGGAUCUCUUCGGCAGCUCAAGUGCAAUACCUUUCCUGCAAUAUAUCCAGCAAGCUACAUUAUCUGGCUUUAAAGAUGUUUUUGAAGGUCAUGAAAAGUGUCAACGCAGACUGGGCAAUGCUGACUUCCUGGACUCUUAUCAUCAGCACUUAUAAGUGCAACAAGGAAUACGUGAAGACUAAUGCUAUUUCAUGGUGUUUCAGCGUGCCCUGCUUUCAAUUUGUUCUGCUGAAAGGAAUUAAUGGCCAAAGUCCAUUUGAAGACAAGCAUGGACAGAAAACAGCUCAGAGUGGUUUGGAACAGAAAAGAAAAGGAAUUCCAGUUUCAUUCUCUGAAAAAUGACUGUUAAUAGGAAGCGAGUGUGAUUCAUGCGCUACAGAUGACAAGAUGUAUUAUUCAAAAAGCAUUCAGCUGAACUAGCAGCCAUUUUGUUUUGUCAAGCUGAAAUUCAAGCAAGGCGAGAGCCAAAUUCAGACAGUGGUGUGGGGGAAUCAUUCCAUUGCUUCAGUGACAGCACCCCCAGCUCGGAGAUAGAGGCUCUCUCCUGCUAGAGUAGGCAGAUAGGGAGAUACAUGCAUACACACAUACAGGGCCAAAUCUUCAGCUGGUGUAAACCAAAACAGCUUCUGUGCCAUCAGUUCUAAGGGUCAGUGAUGUCGACGCUAUGAACUAGAAAUCAGCAUACUUCAGUUAAAGCCAUUUCAGUUAAACACAGACAUAAAAAGCAGAGAAUCUGGCUAUGACUACACUACCGCUCACAUCAAUAAAACUUUUGUCGGUCAGAGGUAUGAAAAACACACACCCCUCCCCCGACCGAUUGACAAAAGUUUUACCGAAAAAAGUGCCAGUGUAGACAGCGCUUUGUUGAUGGGUGAUGCUCUCCCGCCAACAAAGCUACUGCCCCUCGCUAGGGAGUAGUUUUAUUUUGUCAGCAGGAGAGCUCUCUGCCUUCUGUCUGCUGCCUUCCAUCCCAGAAGUGACUGCAAAAUGCCUUGGGAUCCCUUGCUGGUGAAAUGGAAUUUUUACAUUCUUCCCAUUACUCCUAAUCUAAAUCAAUCACUGCAAACUGAUAAUCUCUAUGGAGCAAAGAAGCACUCUUCGGCAACAGCUUGACUAAUGUUUUCCGUUGAUAAGAGGCUCAGGUAAUAGAACCGCAUGGAUGUGCUAUGGUUUAAUAAUCUCAGCCA